GGAAUCUUCCGCAAUGGGCGCAAGCCUGACGGAGCAACGCCGCGUGCGGGAUGACGCCCUUCGGGGUGUAAACCGCUUUUCUUCGGGAAGAAUGUCCCUUCGGGGGCUUGACGGUACCGGAGGAAGAAGGACCGGCUAACUACGUGCCAGCAGCCGCGGUAAUACGUAGGGUCCGAGCGUUGUCCGGAGUUACUGGGCGUAAAGCGCGCGCAGGCGGCGGUGUUGGCCCGGCGUGAAAGCCCCCGGCUCAACCGGGGAGGGUCGUCGGGGACCGCACCGCUUGAGGGCGGUAGGGGCUGGUGGAAUGCCUGGUGUAGUGGUGAAAUGCGUAGAGAUCAGGCGGAACACCCGUGGCGAAGGCGGCCAGCUGGGCCGUCCCUGACGCUGAGGCGCGAAGGCGUGGGGAGCGAACGGGA
rnacentral:misc_RNA from 1 species